rnacentral:rRNA from 1 species
UACGGGGGGAGCAAGCGUUGUUCGGAUUUACUGGGCGUAAAGGGCGCGUAGGCGGUCAUGACAAGUCACUUGUGAAAUCUCCGGGCUUAACUCGGAACGGUCAAGUGAUACUGUCAGACUAGAGUGCAGAAGGGGCAACUGGAAUUCUCGGUGUAGUGGUGAAAUGCGUAGAUAUCGGGAGGAACACCAGUGGCGAAGGCGACUUCCUGGCCUGUUCUUGACGCUGAGGCGCGAAAGCUAGGGGAGCAAACGGG